GUGGGGAAUCUUGCGCAAUGGGCGAAAGCCUGACGCAGCCAUGCCGCGUGAAUGAUGAAGGUCUUAGGAUUGUAAAAUUCUUUCACCGGGGACGAUAAUGACGGUACCCGGAGAAGAAGCCCCGGCUAACUUCGUGCCAGCAGCCGCGGUAAUACGAAGGGGGCUAGCGUUGCUCGGAAUUACUGGGCGUAAAGGGCGCGUAGGCGGACAGUUUAGUCAGAGGUGAAAGCCCAGGGCUCAACCUUGGAAUUGCCUUUGAUACUGGCUGUCUUGAGUACGGGAGAGGUGAGUGGAACUCCGAGUGUAGAGGUGAAAUUCGUAGAUAUUCGGAAGAACACCAGUGGCGAAGGCGACUCACUGGCCCGUUACUGACGCUGAGGUGCGAAAGCGUGGGGAGCAAACAGGAUUAGAAACCCUUGUAGUCC
rnacentral:rRNA from 1 species